UACGUAGGGGGCAAGCGUUGUCCGGAUUUAUUGGGCGUAAAGAGCGUGUAGGCGGCUAGGUAGGUCCGUUGUGAAAACUCGAGGCUCAACCUCGAGACGUCGAUGGAAACCAUCUAGCUAGAGUCCGGAAGAGGAGAGUGGAAUUCCUGGUGUAGCGGUGAAAUGCGCAGAUAUCAGGAGGAACACCAAUGGCGAAGGCAGCUCGCUGGGACGGUAUUGACGCUGAGACGCGAAAGCGUGGGGAGCAAACAGG
rnacentral:rRNA from 1 species